UACAACUACACAUGCCACAAACAUUCAUAAUGCUCUGCUUGGUAGCUCUUAUAACAAUCACGUGAGACCUUCUGACGUCACAAACAUCAGCAUUGAAUUUGUCCUAUUCUCUUUAAAUGACCUGGACAUAAAAAGUCAGACUAUGUCCACAUCCGGAUGGAUGACGGUUAGAUGGGAAGAUCCUCGCCUGGUAUGGACAAAGUCCUCGUACGGCGAUAUAGAAUACAUCUACACGAAACAAAAUAAAAUCUGGCGUCCAGAACUCAUCAUUGACAACUCAGUUGAAGGGAUGGACCCAAUUGGCAAUGA